CCUACGGGAGGCAGCAGUGAGGAAUAUUGGUCAAUGGGCGAGAGUCUGAACCAGCCAAGUAGCGUGCAGGAUGACGGCCCUAUGGGUUGUAAACUCCUUCUAUACGGGAAUAAAAUGAGUCACGUGUGCAUUUUUGUAUGUACCUUAUGAAUAAGGAUCGGCUAAAUCCGUGCCAGCAGCCGCGGUGAUACGGAGGAUCCGAGCGUUAUCCGGAUUUAUUGGGUUUAAAGGGAGCGUAGAUGGGUUGUUAAGUGUGCUGUGAAAGUCCGGGGCUCAACCCUAGAACUGCAAUUGAAACUGGCUGACUUGAGUGCAGGAGAGGUAAGCGGAAUUCGUGGUGUAGCGGUGAAAUGCGUAGAUAUCACGAAGAACUCCGAUUGCGAAGGCAGCUUACUGGAGUGUAACUGACGCUGAGGCUCGAAAGCGUGGGUAUCAAACAGGAUUAGAUACCCUGGUAGUC
rnacentral:rRNA from 1 species